rnacentral:rRNA from 1 species
GCUAACUACGGGACUGCGUCAGCGGUAAUACGAGGGGCGCGAUGGUUAUCCGGGAUUAUUUGGCGGAAAGAGUACGUAGGCGGGUAGGUAAGAAAAUGGUUAAAGCUCCGGGCUCAACGCGGAAAUCGCCGUUGUUACUGCUUAACUCGUCGGUAGCAGGGGCAAGCGGAAUUGUCGGUGUAGGAGUGAAAUCCGUUGAGAUCGACAAGAACACCAAUGGCGAAGGCAGCUUGCUAGGCUAUUUGAGACGCUGAGGUACGAAAGCGUGGGGAGCGAACGGGAUUAGAUACCCGUGUAGUC